AGAGUUUGAUCCUGGCUCAGGAUGAACGCUAGCGGUGCGCCUAACACAUGCAAGUCGAGCGAUCGAGCCAAGCCAAUCACCCUUCGGGGUGUGCGGAUUGGUCACGGAGCGGCGAACUGGUGAGUAACACGUGACUAACCUACCCCCUUGACAAGGAUAGCCACCCGAAAGGGUGGGUAAUACUCGAUAUUGUUGGAGGUCGAUGGAUUUCCAACCAAAGGCGGUUCUGCCGCCACAAGGGGAGGGGGUCGCGUCCUAUUAGCUUGUUGGUAGGGUAACGGCCUACCAAGGCUACGAUGGGUAGCUGGUCUGAGAGGAUGGUCAGCCACAUUGGGACUGAGAUACGGCCCAGACUCCUACGGGAGGCAGCAGUGGGGAAUCUUUCGCAAUGGACGAAAGUCUGACGGAGCGACACCGCGUGGGGGAUGAAUGCUUUCGGGUUGUAAACCCCUUUUCUGGGGGAAGAAUAAGGGCGGAAGGAAAUGUCCGUCCGAUGACGGUACCCCAGGAAUAAGCAUCGGCUAACUUCGUGCCAGCAGCCGCGGUAAGACGAAGGAUGCAAGCGUUAUCCGGAAUUACUGGGCGUAAAGGGUGUCUAGGCGGUUGAGUAAGUCAUCUGUGAAAGCCCUCAGCUUAACUGAGGAACGUCAGGUGAAACUGCUUGGCUUGGGUGUAGGAGAGGGGAGUGGAACUCACAGAGUAGCGGUGGAAUGCGUAGAUACUGUGAGGUACCCGAUGGCGAAGGCAACUCUCUGGCCUACUACCGACGCUGAAGCACGAAAGCGUGGGGAGCAAAGGGGAUUAGAUACCCCCGUAGUCCACGCCCUAAACGAUGUUCACUUGGUGUCGGUCGCACAUACAGAUCGGUGCCGGAGCUAACGCGUUAAGUGAACCGCCUGGGGAGUACGGUCGCAAGGCUAAAACUCAAGAGAAUUGACGGGUCCCCGCACAAGCGGUGGAGCACGUGGUUUAAUUCGAUGAUAAGCGAAGAACCUCACCUGGGCUUGACAUGCUAGUGGUAGGAGCCAGAAACGGUGACGACCUUGCCUUCGGGUAGGGAGCUAGUACAGGUGAUGCAUGGCUGUCGUCAGCUCGUGUCGUGGGACGUAGGGUUAAGUCCCGAAACGAGCGCAACCCCUGUCGUCAGUUGCCAGCGGAUAAUGCCGGGGACUCUGACGAGACUGCUGGUGAAUAGCCGGAGGAAGGAGGGGAUGACGUCAAGUCAUCAUGUCCCUUAUGGCCUGGGCUACACACGCGCUACAAUGGUCGGUACAGAGGGUUGCCAAGCCGCGAGGUGGAGCUAAUCCCAUAAAACCGAUCGUAGUCCGGAUCGCAGUCUGCAACUCGACUGCGUGAAGUCGGAAUCGCUAGUAAUCGCGAAUCAGAAUGUCGCGGUGAAUACGUUCCCGGGCCUUGUACACACCGCCCGUCACACCAUGGGAGUGGGUUGCACCAGAAGUAGCUAGUCUAACCUUCGGGAGGACGGUUACCACGGUGUGAUUCUUGACUGGGGUGAAGUCGUAACAAGGUAACCGU
rnacentral:rRNA from 1 species